UGGCGGACGGGUGAGUAAUGUCUGGGAAACUGCCUGAUGGAGGGGGAUAACUACUGGAAACGGUAGCUAAUACCGCAUAACGUCGCAAGACCAAAGGGGGGGACCUUCGGGCCUCUUGCCAUCGGAUGUGCCCAGAUGGGAUUAGCUAGUAGGUGGGGUAAAGGCUCACCUAGGCGACGAUCCCUAGCUGGUCUGAGAGGAUGACCAGCCACACUGGAACUGAGACACGGUCCAG
rnacentral:rRNA from 1 species